AAUGAACGCUGGCGGCGUGCUUAAUUACAUGCAAGUCGAACGGAAUCCAAGGAGCUUGCUCCGAAAGAUUUAGUGGCGAACGGGUGAGUACCACGUGAGCAACCUGCCCCGAAGAUUGGGAUAACACCGGGAAACCGGUGCUAAUACCGAAUAUCUCCCCUCAAUCGCAUGGUUGAGGGAAGAAACGAAUUUUGCUUCGGGAGGGGCUCGCGGUCCAUCAGCUUGUUGGCGGGGUAACGGCCCACCAAGGCAACGACGGAUAGCUGGUCUGAGAGGACGAUCAGCCACACUGGAACUGAGACACGGUCCAGACUCCUACGGGAGGCAGCAGUAGGGAAUCUUGCGCAAUGGGCGAAAGCCUGACGCAGCAAACGCCGCGUGAGGGACGAAGGCUUUCUGAGUUGUAAACCUCUUUCGACAGGAACGAUUGUGACGGUACCUGUAGAAGAAGCACCGGCCAACUAUGUGCCAGCCGCCGCAGUAAC
rnacentral:rRNA from 1 species